GCGGCCCCGCCGAGCGCAGCGCAGCCCGGACGCUGCUGGGCGCGGAGCCAGGGGCCGAGGGGAUCCCCCAGAACACAACCAGGGCUGGGGCUGGCCCAGCCGCCGCGGGCACGGCCCGGGACAGCGGGGAUGCUCCGGCCUCUGGAGCGAAGGAAGCGCAGCCCCGUCCCACGCAGGGCGAGCGCAGCCCGCAGGGACAGCCAGCACACGGCUUUACUCCAGAAAGCGACGCGAGGCGCUCCCAGCCCUCCGCUCCCCCGAAGAAACCCAGACCAAAGCACCUUUACCCUUCCAGGAACCAGAAGGUAAUUUAUAAUUCACUUACUAAUGGUGUAGGGGUCUUCUUGGAGUUUCAUUUUUUUUUAAAACAGCAGGCAUGUUACCCUUACACUUCCUGCAAAAUUAAUUUGAUUACUGCAGAAACUCAUCUGCAAAACGGCAGAGUUAAAGGAGCAGGGCUCUCCUGCUGCAAGUACUAGCUCCUGCUUUUUACUGUUGUACCCAAGCUGAGACCCAAGUGCAACCUCCUGCUUUGAAAUUCACACCCAUCUGACCUCAGUAUUACCACUGGACCUGGAAAGCAACACAGAUCCAGCAGGGAGUUUCUGUGCCUGACCUCAUUCCCAACAGCGGAGUGCCCACCAUCAAAGAGCCACCCCACCCUCACCCAGUGCUGAAGUACAAACGACUACAUUGGAGCUAAAUUUCACAGCAAAAAUGUUUGGAGAGUUCCACAUAGAAGGACAUAGAGAAAUGAGUUAAAUGGGCUUAACUGAGAUCAUUAGUUUGCCUUCACAGGAAUAGACCUGGGGAAGAAAGUGUUUUCCAAGUGAGAACAAUCAAGUUUUCCGGCUGAAUGAAUAACCAGAGGAAGCAAGUACAUUGGGUCUCUACUUCUAUGUUUAGCACCAUUUAGAAAAAGCAAAUGCAAUACAGAGUUCAUAGAUGUGUACAAUGCUAAGCAUAAAUACAGGUUUGGGUAUUUAGAGUUCCAGGGUCAGCACCCCGAGCAGAGCUGGCACAAGUUACAGGAGUGACAUGGAAGAACGAGGAACAAAACCGCAGCAGAGGCAAUACAAGUAACAGGCCUCCAGAAGCAUUUGUAAAUAUUGGAUUUCAGGUUUGAGGAUGAUGAAUGAGCUGGAGUAUAAGUGCUUCAAAUUCAGUCUGCACCUCCAACAAGUUAAUUAAUUAACUAAUAAUAUGUUUGGAAGGAUUCUAAACAUGGGAACUGUGAGAGCCACUAUUACUUCAUCACCAUUCCUUCUAGCUGUUCUGGCUUAUGGAUUUUUACCUAUGGCCUCCCACAGCUGCUAAUUUUAAUCUGUUGUAACCAAAAUAAAACAAAAAUAAGAAAUGCUAUGAAUAUUCCUUACUAUGCUUAUCACAAGCAUGACUUUCUGAAGUAAAGCCAAGUUUUGACCAAGA